UACGUAGGGACCAAGCGUUGUCCGGAAUCAUUGGGCGUAAAGAGCGUGUAGGCGGCUUGUUAAGUCUUGCGUGAAAUCUCGGGCUCAACCCCGAGCGGUCGUGAGAACUGGCAGGCUAGAGUGCGGGAGAGGAGAGUGGAAUUCCUGGUGAGCGGUGAAAUGCGCAGAUAAUCAGGAAGACACCCGUGGCGAAGGCGGCUCCUCUGGAACGCAACUGACGCGAGACGCGAAAGCGUGGGGAGCAAACAGGAUAGAUACCC
rnacentral:rRNA from 1 species